AUGCUCAAGUUCCUGUCGAGGGUGGUGGUGGAGUACAACCCUUUGGACCCGCGCAAGGCGGCGGCCGUGGAGCUCCUCGCGCAGUGCAACGGCCGCAAGGCCAAGGACUCCAACCCCACCUGCUCCGUCGAGCUGCGGCGCCUGCCCUCCCCGGCCGCGGCCGACGACCCCAAGGCCCAGCCGCCCCCGCGCGUCCUCGUCACCUACCUCAACGGCGCCGAGGAGGCCUUCGUCGCCGCCGACGGCGCCACGGCGCAGGGCAUGCGCGAGCAGAUCCUCGCCCGCGGCCGCCUCCUCGAGACCGAGCAGCUCUUCCGCGAGGCCGGGGAGAAGUGGCCCGUCGUCAUCCCCGAGGAGGAGCUCGGCAUGUCGUUCCCUGGGAUCAAGCCAAAGAAAGCCGAGGAGAAGCCCCAGGCUGCCUGA
rnacentral:rRNA from 1 species